GACUCUCGGCAACAUAUAUCUCUGCUCUUGUCACGAUGAAGAAUGUAGCGAAAUGCGAUACUUAGUGUGAAUUGCAGAAUCCCGUGAAUCAUCGAGUUUUUGAACGCAAUUUGCGCCCGAGGCCUCGGUUGAGGGCACGUCUGUCUCUGCGUCG
rnacentral:rRNA from 1 species